UACGGGGGGGGGCAAGCGUUGUUCGGAAUUACUGGGCGUAAAGCGCGCGUAGGCGGCUUUUCAAGUCGGGCGUGAAAGCCCCGGGCUUAACCCGGGAAUGGCGGUGGAUACUGACAAGCUAGAGUGCGGUAGAGGAGGGUGGAAUUCCCGGUGUAGCGGUGAAAUGCGUAGAGAUCGGGAGGAACAUCAGUGGCGAAGGCGGCCCUCUGGACCAGCACUGACGCUGAGGCACGAAAGCGUGGGGGAGCAAACAGG
rnacentral:rRNA from 1 species